UACGUAGGGUGCAAGCGUUGUCCGGAAUUAUUGGGCGUAAAGAGCUCGUAGGCGGUCUGUCGCGUCUGCUGUGAAAAUCCAGGGCUCAACCCUGGACCUGCAGUGGGUACGGGCAGACUAGAGUGCGGUAGGGGAGAUCGGAAUUCCUGGUGUAGCGGUGAAAUGCGCAGAUAUCAGGAGGAACACCGGUGGCGAAGGCGGAUCUCUGGGCCGUAACUGACGCUGAGGAGCGAAAGCGUGGGGAGCGAACAGG
rnacentral:rRNA from 1 species